GGGGCUUUAGCUCAGUUGGUAGAGCACAACGCUGGCAGCGUUGGGGUCAGGAGUUCGAAUCUCCUAAGCUCCACCA
rnacentral:tRNA from 1 species